GGGGCUGCGCUCUCCUCAAAAUGCUGCGACGGUGGAAGACGGCGUUCCAUGCUACGCGACUGAAAUCCUUUUCGCAGUGAGUGUCCUACCGUGUUAUGCAGACCAGCAACUUUCGUCUUUCAAUACUACAAAUAAGAUCCUUUAAUUGAAAAGACUGUGGGACUGACUUCUGAGUAAAGCUUACAUGAGCCACAAUAAUUAAGGACUACUACAGAACACACCAAAAAAAGAUUGUACUGGUUCAUUGAACAGCUUUUUUUUGUUGUUGUUGUUUUUUUUUCCCCCCACAGAAUCAUAGAAGAAUAUCCUAAAGGGCAAGUAGUAAGGCUGAGUAAUGUGAGGAGAGAAGGAGCAGAAAAGUUAAAUAUAAAAGAUCUAAUCCUUCCCUUAAGUUCUGAUCACAUCUGUAAUUUAAUCUAUCAUCAAAUUCAGAUCAACUUUAAAGGGCUUGUAACUGAGCCCAAAAUAUUCCAACUCUUUGUCCAGCAAUAAAACUCAAUAAAAUAAACAAAAAUAAAAUUCAGUAAUAUCGUUUUAGCUCAGAUUUCAACUAUUCCCCAUUACUCACCCUCCAACUCUUUUGCUAAAGGACAAUAGUUUCAAAAGUUCUAUGUCCUUCUUCCUUGCAUGCCUGAAUGUAGCUACACUCCUCAUUUUAUUUCUCUUACAUUCUCCCCCCUGCUCGUGCUUAUAUUUGUGUAUUGUGGGAGCAUUUCAGAAAAAUGAAGGCAGAAAAGAAACUAAGAUGACUAAAUUAUUUAAUCAUUGAGAAAGAAGUGUAAAUAAAGUAUUUGUAAAAAUACAACAAAACCAUUAUGUGGUCCACUUUUUAGCCUUGAACUGCUGCUGCAACAAUGUUGGACUAGACUAUCCAGUCUGAAUCUUCACAUGGUCUUCCAAGACUUUAACUUAAAUCAUAAUUUGACAAAAUGGAAAAAUGGCCUAGUCACAGAACAAACUUUUUUACGGCUACAAUAUUAAUAAAAAAAACUUUCUGCCAUCUUAUCUGUGAAUAAAACAGUAAUAAAAACUGCACAGAAAAGCAAUACAGUGUAGUUAGCAUUGAUUAUAUCAGGCACAUUGAACCCAAGGGCCACAUGCGGCCCAGCACAGCCCAUGCUAAGGCUCAACCCUUGCAGCACACCCUUAUGCUAGUGGUUCUUCCCCACUACAGCACAACCAAAUCACAGGCAUGCAACAAUCACUCAGCAACAACAAAACAUCAAUCAAUAUGCUACUACAGUUGUUUCAGCUGAAACAAGGACCAGAGGAGGGCAUAGUGCAGUGCUAACUCUGCCACUCACACCUGCCACACAUUCUGUUGAACUGAAACCUGUAUCUAUUAGACAUGACAUGCACUUUUGCUGCUCGGUGAAUAAAGCGCAGUGAUUGCCAAUAGUAUUUCAAUCUACCAGGUGUCUUCUCAAAAUAGAGCAGAACCCCCUCAGAAAAGAAAACUGGGGAUGAAGAACGCUCAAAGGGAAACAGACAGAUGAGGACAAAUAACAUGGCACUAUGAUUAAUCUGUAAGAAAAUAAUGCCAGUUUCAGAGAUGAAAAUUUGAAAAGACAUCAUAAGCAAAAACACGCUGCCAAACCCAAAGCAUGAACACAAAAUAGUGGAACUGAAGAAAAGCUUGUCAUCUCAACAAAAUAUUUUAAAUAAAGUUAGAACUCAAGUAGACUGUAUUAUAAAAGCUUGUUACGUGGUAGUAAAUCUGACUGCAAAAAAGAAAUAAAAAUAAAAAUAAAUAAUUUAUUAAGCAACAUAUGGAAAGCACAUCAAAUAUAUUUUGUCCUGACUAAAAAAAAGAAUAAAAAAGAAAUUUCUAAAAUCGGUUUGUCUCACCAGACAAUAAACAGGCAAACUGAAGAAACAGGAAAAUUUAUCAAAACAAAUUCAUAGAGUAAAACUGCCAAUUUCAAAUGUUAUGCUUUGGCAACAAAUGAAAGUAUGAUGCUCCAGAUACAUCUGUACUUGCCAUUUUUAUUACAGGUAUUGAAAAUGAAUAUAACAUCACUGAAGAAAUGGCUUCUCUGGUGCCUUUAAAAGACACGACUACAUCUCUUUACUUGUAUGACACAGUCAGAAUUACAAUAAAGUGGUUUUAUUUAAACUUUGUCAUCAUAUCUGGUAUGGCCACCAAUGCACUGAAGACAAGGUGCUAAAAAACAGUGACUUACAAAAUCAACGCAAUUGCCAUCAGUAACUCAUGUUUUAGGAAAUAUUGUUGCAUCCAACAUCAACAAAACUUAUGUGCACGUAUUAUAUAAUGCAAAUCAAAGUUUUCAAUUUUAUGAAGUUCAAGGAAUUAAAUCAUCACCAAUUCCAGGAUCCAUUUAAAUGUAUGGAUGCUGAUUAUGGGGACAUCAUUUACUUUUCUGAAGCCAGGUGCCUAAGUAAAGGUAGAACACUAAAAAAAUAUGAUUUGAGAAAUGGAAUCAAGUCCUUUCUGGAAUCAAAAGGAAAAUUUGUGCCAGAACUUGAAGAUUAAAAAUGGCUCACAGAUUUAGCGUUUUUGGUGGAUUUGACCACUCCAUUCAAUGAAUUAAACAUGAAGCUUCAAGGUGAAAAUGAUCUCAUCUGCUAUGUUUCAAACGUAACAGCGUUUGAAAUGAAACUUUAAAUUACAGCAAGUUCACAUUAUGUCAAAUAAUUUCAUGCAUUUUGAUACACUGGCUAAACACAGUCCUGUGAACAGUGAAAAAUACGCAGCCUUGCUUUCCAUUUUGAAAAAGGAAUUUGAGAAUAAGUUUAAAUAUAAAAAAAUACAUCCCGUUUUUGUUUUAUUUGCAGCUCUGUUUUCAGUUCUUCUAAAUACAUUACCUGUGAAUUUUCAAUGUAUAGAAUUGCAAUGAGAUAUUCAACUCAAGAAUCUGAUCGUGUCUGUUUAUAAGACUUUCUUAAGACCUGUCUUAACACAGAAAAAUAUCCCUCAUUUCACAAUCAUGUCUUAUUCAUGCCAUUGCUUUUUUGGUAGUAUGUACAUUUGUAAACAAUUAUUGUCAAGGAUGAAGCAUGGGAAGAAUAAAAUUUCACCAAAAAUCUCUGAUGAGCACCUUGAGAACUCAAGAAUUGCAACCACUUCCACUGAAACAGACUGAUGCAUCAGUUUCAGAAAGACAAGGUCAAACAUGCCACUAGUUUCAUAUUUUUAUUGCUCCUUUUUAAGUAUUUUAUUUAAAAACAUUAAAAAAUAUAAGUUUUGUUACUUAUAUUACCCAUACUAUUUAUUUAGCUCAAGAAAUUUCCUCAUCACUCACUGAUGCCCAGGCAAGCCAGAAUUUUGCACACCUAUGGUUUACAAUAAAGUAUCUUACUUUAUAAAAGUUCAAAGCCAUCACUUCAGAGAUUCAUGAACUGAACUAAAGCUACACGGAAUGCAAAAUGAAUUGAAUAUGCAUUUGCGCAAAAAUUAUUUCUACUCAAUAUUUUGAUGGAUAUCUAACACCAAAUAUAAUCCUGGUCUAAUUUAGUUCAUCUGACACAGAUGCUCCAAAACAUCCCACUGAUGACAAUACAGGUUUCUCCACUUCUUUUUGCAUGCUCCCUCCGCAACAUAUUCUACAGAAGGAUCACGAGGAAUAAAUAAAUAAAUAAAUAAAUACAGACAUCCAGAUGUUGAUGUGAUGAUUAAUAAGACUUACGAAAUCUUUCAAGAACAGUUUUUGAGAGUCCUAACAUGAUCACAUAUACAAAAAGAAGUAAAGUGUUUCAUUUGUAAGAGAACUUGUAUGCAAUUCUAGUGUGGUAAUGGCAUUUGCAAAGGAAACAUGCUGGAACUGUCUGGUUUAUUUUUGUGUGCGUUUUGUUUAUAAGAAAAAAAUAAAAGUUGAAAAUGAACUAGAAAGAAAAUGUACCAGGUAGACUAAAGAAAAAAGCUUCUUAGACUAAUUAUCUAACAUUCCUGUCUAAAAAUAAAUUAUAUCACAUAAUUUUCA